ensembl:miRNA
ACGAACGGCUAUGCACUGCACAACCCUAGGAGAAGGUGCCAUUCACAUAGACUAUAAUUGAAUGGCGCCACUAGGGUUGUGCAGUGCACAACCUGCAC